rnacentral:tRNA from 2 species
GCUGGGGUACUCAAGCGGACAACGAGGGCAGUCUGUAAAACUGCUGGCGUAAGCCUACAUAGGUUCGAAUCCUAUCCCCAGCACAA